rnacentral:rRNA from 1 species
ACUGAGUGGCGGACGGGUGAGUAACGCGUGGGUAACCUGCCUCAUACAGGGGGAUAACAGUUAGAAACGACUGCUAAUACCGCAUAAGACCACGGCACCGCAUGGUGCAGGGGUAAAAACUCCGGUGGUAUGAGAUGGACCCGCGUCUGAUUAGGUAGUUGGUGGGGUAACGGCCUACCAAGCCGACGAUCAGUAGCCGACCUGAGAGGGUGACCGGCCACAUUGGAACUGAGACACGGCCCAA